rnacentral:rRNA from 1 species
GACGAACGCUGGCGGCGUGCCUAAUACAUGCAAGUAGAACGCUGAAGGAGGAGCUUGCUCUUCUGGAUGAGUUGCGAACGGGUGAGUAACGCGUAGGUAACCUGCCUGGUAGCGGGGGAUAACUAUUGGAAACGAUAGCUAAUACCGCAUAACAGUAGAUGUUGCAUGACAUUUGCUUAAAAGGUGCAAUUGCACCACUACCAGAUGGACCUGCGUUGUAUUAGCUAGUUGGUGGGGUAACGGCUCACCAAGGCGACGAUACAUAGCCGACCUGAGAGGGUGAUCGGCCACACUGGGACGGAGACACGGCCCAGACUCCUACGGGAGGCAGCAGUAGGGAAUCUUCGGCAAUGGACGGAAGUCUGACCGAGCAACGCCGCGGGAGGGAAGAAGGGUUUCGGAUCGUAAAGCUCGGUUGUAAGAGAAGAACGAGUGUGAGAGUGGAAAGUUCACACUGUGACGGUAUCUUACCAGAAAGGGACGGCUAACUACGUG